AAUAACUUUUUGGCUAUAAAUGUGUUAUGUUUGUAUUGUAUCUUCCAUACAACUACUAUCCGUAGCUAAUAUACAUAUUAAAAAGUCCAUAUAUUUCAAUCAAUAGUAGCUUUAUAAAAAGUCAUUGUAUAUGCAUAUUAACAACUUACAAAAAAGCACAACAUAAUUUUACCAACAGUAUCGAAAAAUCGCAAAACCUAUAUAGCAUUGUAACACGCCAAAUGCCGCUAUACU
rnacentral:lncRNA from 1 species